GACGAACGCUGGCGGCGUGCUUAACACAUGCAAGUCGAACGGAAAGGCCCUGCUUUUGUGGGGUGCUCGAGUGGCGAACGGGUGAGUAACACGUGAGUAACCUGCCCUUGACUUUGGGAUAACUUCAGGAAACUGGGGCUAAUACCGGAUAGGAGCUCCUGCUGCAUGGUGGGGGUUGGAAAGUUUCGGCGGUUGGGGAUGGACUCGCGGCUUAUCAGCUUGUUGGUGGGGUAGUGGCUUACCAAGGCUUUGACGGAUAGCCUGCCUGAGAGGGUGACCGGGGACAUUGGGACUACGAUACGGCCCAGACUCCUACGGGAGGCAGCAGGGGGGAAUAUUGCACAAUGGGCGGAAGCCUGAUGCAGAAACGUCGCGUGCGGGAUGACGGCCUUCGGGUGGUAAACCGCUUUCGCCUGUGACGAAGCGUGAGUGACGGUAAUGGGUAAAGAAGCACCGGCUAACUACGUG
rnacentral:rRNA from 1 species